UACGUAGGGUGCAAGCGUUGUCCGGAAUUAUUGGGCGUAAAGAGCUCGUAGGCGGUUUGUCGCGUCGGCUGUGAAAACUCGGGGCUCAACUCCGAGCUUGCAGUCGAAUACGGGCAGGCUAGAGUUCGGCAGGGGAGACUGGAAUUCCUGGUGUAGCGGUGAAAUGCGCAGAUAUCAGGAGGAACACCGGUGGCGAAGGCGGGUCUCUGGGCCGAUACUGACACUGAGGAGCGAAAGCGUGGGGAGCGAACAGG
rnacentral:rRNA from 1 species